AUGACUGCCAAAGUGUUUGAGUCUAUCAGAAAGUUCGGCCUCGCAUUAGCAGUUGCAGGAGGCUGGUGAACUCUACUUUAUGUAAUGUGAAUGCUUGACACAGAGCUGUCAUCCUUGACUGAUUACGUGGAGUACAGGACAUUGUGGUAGGAGAAGGGACUGACUUUUUCAUCCCUUGGGUACAGAAGCCAAUUAUCUUUGACUGAUGCUCUCGACCACAGAGUGUGCUGGUUGUCACUGGAAGCAGAGUUACAGAAUGUCAACAUCACAGUGCGCAUCCUCUUCUGGCUGGUGGCCUGCCACCUUCCUCAUAUCUACAUCAACAUUGGCGAAGACUAUGAUGAGCGGGUGCUGCCAUCUAUUGCCACAGAGAUCCUUAAGUUCAAUUCGAUACUGGAGAGUUGGUUACCCAACGAGAACUGGUCUCUAGGCAGGUGAGUGAUGACCUCACAGAGUGAGCAGCAACAUUUGGACUCAUCCUGGAUGACAUGCCCCUGACACAUCUGACCUUCGGGAAGGAGUUCACGGAGACAGUAGAAGUCAAACAAGUGGCUGAGCAGAAAGCAGAGAGAGCCAGAUUUGUGAUGGAAAAGGCUGAGCAGCAGCAUAAGGCAGCCAUCAUCUCCCCUGAGGGUGACUCCAAGAAAGCUGAACUGAUUGUCAACUCGCUUGUCACAGCAGGUGUUGGCCUGAUCAAGCUGAGAAGGCUGGAAGCUGCUGAGGACAUUGCAUACCAGCUCUCCCGCAGUCUGCACUCCAUGCUACUCUAGCUUCCCCAGUGA
rnacentral:lncRNA from 1 species